AGAAACACCACGACUUGUCGGAGCUUGACGGUACUGUAAGAAUAAGGAUCGGCUAACUCCGUGCCAGCAGCCGCGGUAAUACGGAGGAUCCAAGCGUUAUCCGGAAUCAUUGGGUUUAAAGGGUCCGUAGGCGGACUUUUAAGUCAGAGGUGAAAUCCCACAGCUCAACUGUGGAACUGCCUUUGAUACUGGAAGUCUUGAGUUAUUGUGAAGUGGUUAGAAUGUGUGGUGUAGCGGUGAAAUGCAUAGAUAUUACAUAGAAUACCGAUUGCGAAGGCAGAUCACUAACAAUGUACUGACGCUGAUGGACGAAAGCGUGGGUAGCGAACAGGAUUAGAUACCCUGGUAGUCCACGCCGUAAACGAUGGAUACUAGCUGUUCGGAUUUCAUUGCUGAGUGGAGUGGCUAAGCGAAAGUGAUAAGUAUCCCACCUAGGGAGUACAACGAUGAGACUGAAACUGAAUUGAC
rnacentral:rRNA from 1 species